ensembl:lncRNA GNAO1-DT GNAO1 divergent transcript
GGAACAGUUAUGUAGAUCUACCAGGUGCAGGGAAGCACUCCACACCCUCACCCAGGUCCUGUAUCCCUGCAAGACUGCGUUGGAAAGACUGAAGAGCAUCUGCUCCCUCAAAGGUGAAAACCAGAAAUUGGCAGUAGAUGAUAUGCAACUAUUAAAUAUAAUGUGAAGCUUUAGUCUCAAUAGGUUUGGACAAAUAAUAAAUGAAAGUAAUUUUCAAAACUGAAGGGAAGUAAUACCAAGAAAGUCAGCAGAGUGAAAAGAACACUGGAUAGAAUGAAGAGACAAGACUCUUAGUCUCUGGCCAACUUUGGGAGACUUAAUUCACUUUCCAGGCCUCAGUUUCCUCAAUCAAGAAAUUGGAUUUUAGGCAUCUUUUAUCCGUAAUUCUAAAUCCGAGUUGCGAGGACAGAGAACCUGGAGGACUGACACUGGGAAGAUUACAGAAGGCAGAGCUCCAGAGGGCAAAGCAAGAAAAUGUUACAAAUCUAUUUAUUCAGUCCUUGAAUCUGAGUAUAUCUGUUCCACUAUCAAAAUGGUUCCCUUUACUUUUUUCUUCCCUUUAAGUCAAGCAUGAAUUUUUCAUAUUUCGUAUAGUGUUUGCUUUAGAAAUAUAACACCUUGUAAACGUAACAAGCCAAUAGUAUGAAAAGACUA